CAGGGAUUGCCCUAGUAACGGCGAGUGAAGCGGCAACAGCUCAAAUUUGAAAUCUGGCUCUUUUAGGGUCCGAGUUGUAAUUUGCAGAGGGCGCUUUGGUGUUGGCAGCGGUCCAAGUUCCUUGGAACAGGACGUCACAGAGGGUGAGAAUCCCGUACGUGGUCGCUAGCCUCCGCCGUGUAAAGCCCCUUCGACGAGUCGAGUUGUUUGGGAAUGCAGCUCUAAAUGGGAGGUAAAUUUCUUCUAAAGCUAAAUACUGGCCAGAGACCGAUAGCGCACAAGUAGAGUGAUCGAAAGAUGAAAAGCACUUUGGAAAGAGAGUCAAAUAGCACGUGAAAUUGUUGAAAGGGAAGCGCUUGCAGCCAGACUUGCCUGUAGUUGCUCAUCUGGGCUUUUGCCCAGUGCACUCUUCUAUAGGCAGGCCAGCAUCAGUUUGGGCGGUUGGAUAAAGGUCUCUGUCAUGUACCUCUCUUCGGGGAGGCCUUAUAGGGGAGACGUCAUGCAACCAGCCUGGACUGAGGUCCGCGCAUCUGCUAGGAUGCUGGCGUAAUGGCUGUAAGCGGCCCGUCUUGAAACACGGACCAAGGAGUCUAACAUCUAUGCGAGUGUUUGGGUGUCAAGCCCGAACGCGUAAUGAAAGUGAACGGAGGUGGGAACCCUUUUGGGGUGCACCAUCGACCGAUCCUGAUGUCUUCGGAAGGAUUUGAGUAAGAGCAUGGCUGUUGGGACCCGAAAGAUGGUGAACUAUGCUUGAAUAGGGUGAAGCCAGAGGAAACUCUGGUGGAGGCUCGCAGCGGUUCUGACGUGCAAAUCGAUCGUCAAAUUUGGGCAUAGGGGCGAAAGACUAAUCGAA
rnacentral:rRNA from 1 species